rnacentral:rRNA from 1 species
UUAUUAAUACCCCCAAAAGCAUUUAAUAUUUAAUUAAACAAACCAUUUUUCCCCCCAAGUAUGGGCGACAGAAAAGAAACAUUUAGAGCCAUAGAAAAAGUACCGCAAGGGAAUGCUGAAAAAGAAGUGAAACAACCCAGUAAAGUUUAAAAAAGCAGAGACUUACACUCGUACCUUUUGCAUCAUGAUUUAGUCAGUAAAAACAAGCAAAAGGUACUUUAGUUUGUCUCCCCGAAACUAAGUGAGCUACUCCAAGACAGCCUAAAAUAGGGCUAACCCGUCUCUGUGGCAAAAGAGUGGGGUGAGCUUAGAGUAGAGGUGAUAGACCUACCGAACUUAGUUAUAGCUGGUUGCCUGAGAAAUGAAUAGAAGUUCAGCUUUUUGGUUUCUCCCCCCAACUCGCCUACCUACGACCGAGCCAAAGAAACCAAAAAAGUUAAUUAAAGGGGGUACAGCUCCUUUAAACAAGAUACAACUUCACCAGCCGGGUAAAGAUCACACAUAAUCAAGGUAAAAUGUUUUAGUGGGCCUAAAAGCAGCCACCUAUAAAAAGCGUUAAAGCUUCUUCAUACCACCACCCUCAAAUUCAGAUAAUACACCCUAAACCCACUAAUUUUACCAAGCCGCCCCAUGCUGUCAUGGGGGUGAUUAUGCUAAAAUGAGUAAUAAGAAAAAUCACCUUUUCUCCCUGCAUUCGUGUAAAUCGAAACGGACCCCCCAUCGAACAUUAAUCGGCCCCAAAAAAAGAGGGCAAUGAACUAUCAACCCCGAUACAAGAAAAGCACCCAAAUAUCAACCGUUAACCUCACACUAACAUGCUUACAAGGAAAGACUAAAAGAAAAAGAAGGAACUCGGCAAAUACAAGCCUCGCCUGUUUACCAAAAACAUCGCCUCUUGAAAACUAAGCAUAAGAGGUCC